UUUAUCUUUAUUUCUUUGCUAAAUGCGAUGAUGUCCCAUUUGGUUCUUUAAUGCAUUUUCGGGGAGAUACUACUAGCAUUAUUAGUAGUAUUCUAUUUUUAUGAUUUGUUAGACAUAAAAUAAGAAUAGCAUAACGCAAAUAAUGUUAAUAGCGUCUCCUCGAACGCAUUUCUAGCGACGAUAUAGACGGCACUGCUUCUCGCGAAGUGCGACGCUUGGAGUGGGAAUAAACAGCACUGCAAUCCAAACUCUAAGUUGAUGAUGAAACUCUUUAAUAACUGAUUUAUCAUUGAAGUGAAAAAUAGAUUCUACGUAAAAAGUUGUAUGUUACGUAACUGUGUUUAUCGUUAAUCCUAUUGCAUAACAAUUUAUCUCUAUUCAGUCUUCGUUCAGUUCCUUUGCAGUAGUGGAUAAAGUUUCUUGUAGCGUCACGAUAACAAACGUAUGUGAAGAUAGUGUAGAGUUUUACGCUCGACAUGGGUUAACUAGUGAAGAUAGAAGAUGUACAGCGACAUAUUUGAACGAGACCGAUGAGAGAGCGUCAUCGCGGAAAUCAAACGCUGGAUCAACGAUAUAUGGAAAAGAUGAAAGAUAGAUUUCACAACACAUUUACUCACACAAAACAAUACGGAACUGUUUCAAGGAUAUUCCAGCUAAUAUCUUGUCCGUCGAGUAUGUCGACACUGAUGGCAUAAUCCAGGAAUUAACAGAAUAUUCGAAAGAAAUCAAUUGAAGAGAAUCGCGAAUGGCUUAUAGAUGAUGAUAAUGAUAAAAUGAUAAAAUUAUUUUGAAGCGGUUUAAGAUACUUAUUUUGAAGAGUUAGGAACAACAUAAAGAUGACUUUUUUAUCCUGCGAUUUUUGAGAGUCUGUAAAUUUAACCUCGAGAAAACUAAAAUCAGGAUAAGAAACUAU